GCCAGGUGUGGUGGUGUGCACCUGUAGUCCCAGCUACUUGGGAGGCUGAGGCAGGAGAAUCGCUUGAACCCAGGAGGCAGAGGUUGAAAUGAGCCGAGAUCAUGCCACUGCACUCCAGCCUGGGUGACAGAGCGAGACUCUGUCUCUA
rnacentral:sRNA from 1 species